GUGGGGCAGAGGGCAGCCUGAGCAUCUGCAAACAGAGUGGCUCACAGAGAGGACACCUGCCCUGAGGACACCUGCAGGAGAUCCCUACAGAGGAAGGGCUAGACCAGGCUCCAUCCAGCAAACAGGCAGGACAGCGAUGUCUUCCUGCAUGACAGAAGGGGAAACUGAGGCCCAGAGUGAUGCAGCCCGGGACCUCCCAGGACAAGGUCCAAGCUCUUACCUCAGGUCCCUACACGGGUCAAGAUGGGAGCCGCCUUAGAGAUCUCUAUUCUGCAGAGGAGGAAACUGAGGCACAGACAUGGAUGGAGGGAAUUUGGCCAAGGCCCUUUGGCCUUCUGGGCCAGGACUCCAGCCCCAGCCCAGUGGCAGGAAGAGGGUCUCAUGCCACCCCUCAACCCUGAUAAUCCUGCAUGCACGGCACAGGCCUCGAACCUCCUCUCCCCUGGCCUGGUCCCACCCUAGUGGGCCCGGCAGUGGGGCCUUCCAUCCUGCCUCUGUCACUGCCACAAAAGAACAUCAUGAUGCAUCCCAGGCCUCUGUCCUUCAGGCCAUGGGGGGCUUCCCUGAGCACAGCCACUCACCACAUGCCUGAGUCUGGAUCUCAUGCGAGAACUGGCCUGGACCCCUGGACCAGGAUACAAACUCAUCUGGAAGCAUUAAAACAAUGGAAGCAGGUGAGAGCAGAGAGAUCCCGAGCGCAGGUGAGGUGGGGUCCCUGAGGCGGGCUCAAAAGCUGCUUCCCAAGGCAGGGGGGCCCCUAUGUGCCCUCUGAGAGCACAGCCUGCAGACAGAGUCCAGACGUCUCAGGCAGGCCUUUGAGGCCUUCGUGUCAAAGCCCAGUUCUACCACAUCCUAGGGUUAUACUUUCGGCCUGGUGGGAGUCGCUGGUCCCCAGUUGACAGUGUCAUUGGGAAAGUCCAGUGGUAGACCCCGGCACAGCAGGCGCUCAGCAGUGCAGCAGUAUCAUUGCUUAGCCCCACCUCCCUUUCCAGACUCUGCACCCCUCCUCAGGCUCAGAGCAAGGGCCUGCCCCUGCCCCUCCACCGCCCCCUCCUCACUUACCCCUGCGACUCUGCCCAAGCAAGACCUCCCCCUGGAAUUCAUUCAUUUAUCAACUCAUUAUGCAGCCAGCCAGCCAUCGUUUCUUUUUUAUCCACUUUUUCUGAGGGCCUGCUGUGCGCCAGCUGCUGGAGACAUGAAGACAUCGAAGACCCCAGGCCUUGACCUCCAAGAGCCCCCAGUUUGGUGGAAGAAACAAACAAGGAGACUGCAAAACACACCCUGUGAUGGGGAGGGUUGAGGUGGCCAGUGGGAGAGGCGAGCUGGCAGGGCUCAGUGGUGAGGUGAAGGUGUGGGAGCAGGGACACAGCAUGAAGGAGUAGAUGGCCAGGUUGAGCUUUGCAGGCUCCAGGGGGAGGAUAAAGAGCUGACACCUGGAACGUGCUUGGAACAGCAGGUGCUCGGUCAGUGCAGCCACGACCAUCCCGUCCUGCAUCCCCACCAUGAACUUGGACCUUCUGGAAGGACCUUGCUUAUCCCAGCAUCCACACAUCCUUGACCAGACCUGGUCAACAUUUGCUUAGAACCGCCUGGCUGCUGGGAUGAGAAGAGACUGGAGAGAGACCACGAUGGAAGCCAGGAGGCCAACGAGGAGUUGGGGUAGUCCUCCAGGGAGACAUGAUGUGGCUUCAGCCCCAGUGGUGAUGGCGGGGUAGAGCCAGCAGGGUUCUGAACUGAGUGGAUGUGAAAUGAGGGAAAGAGGGAUGCUGCGGUCGGCAGAAUCGUGCCUCCCGCAAAGAUGCCCCAUCCUAACCCGUCACCCUUGACAGUGAGACCUCCACCACAAAGGGGACUUUGCAGGCAUGAAGGUUAAGGACCCUGAGAGGAGGAGAUGGCCCUGGACUGUCUGGCGGGCCCAGCAUCAUCACAAGGGUGCUUAUAAGUGGAGGAGGAGGCAGGGGGAGCCGAGCAGAUGUGAGGAUAGAAGCAGAGGUCGGAGGGACGUGCUGUUGGCUUGAGAUGGAGGAGGACCUAUGAGCCAAGGAGCAUGGGCGGCCUCUGGAAGCCAGAAAGGGCAAGGCCUCUUCCCGGAGCCUCCAGCAGAACCCAGCCCCGCUGCCACCUCGACUGCAGAACGGUGACACCGUGUCCGAUUCCCGACCUCCAGAACCGUGAGAUAACACGUGUGCUGUUUUAAGCCACUGCAAUUGUGGUAUUUGUCACAGCAGCCAUAGGAAACUGUACGGGGGUUAAAGAGGACCUGCUGACCUCUGAGCUCACACUGAAGCCUCCUGGAAUGCUGUGGGUUGUGAGCUGGGAUGAGAACGCAGCAUGGAGAUGAAAGACGCAUCCACCCAGGAAGGCCCACUGGCAUCGCAAUCUCAGGGAAGAUUCCCAGGCUGAAAAAAGAGAAAGUGGCUGGGGUGGCACUGAAUGCCCCACGUCAAAGAAAUGGCACCCAAGCCGUCCGUCAGUCCCUCACCUGCCACACAGACAGCACCUUGGACCCAGCAAGAUGUCACUCACCACAUUGAUGCUGUCCACAGGCAUCGCCUUGCUUUUGCAGCUCUGUGUGAGAUUUGUCAGCUUGGUUUGGGUCUGGGGCUGUAUUAGAGCUGUCAGCCUAGGAGCCUACCCUAGUUUUGUGUCUGCACUAUUUCCAAAGCACUGGAAUAAAAGGCAUUUUAACCAA
rnacentral:lncRNA from 1 species